rnacentral:lncRNA from 1 species
CUGAAACGCGGCUCUUCUCGGAUCUCAAGCCGCUGGGUUCCCGACCGGAAGUCACGCCAUCUGCUCUCGCGUUGUCCAGUUUAACGCGGACACAGAUUUUGGGACUUCUCGGUCUCCAUACUCCUGUGAGCCAAUUCAGAGAUUUGCGGUCAGCAACCUGGAGAACCGUGGAGCGGAUGGUCUAACUUCCGGUCGGAAACGCAGCAGGGUUGAGAUCUGAGAAGAACCGUUUAUUCAGUUCCACUCUGAAGUUUUCACUUCUUCUCAGUCUACAUAAUUUGGCUGAGUCCUCAAAUAAAAAAUUGACGCUCACAACCAGAAGGACCCACAACGAGAAUAUACAACUAUGUACUAAGGGGCUUUGGGGAGAAGAGGAAGAAAAAAAAUUAAUGAAAAGCAAUUUUAUUAUGGAAUAGCAUGGUCAAUUUAGUAUGGGACUGCAACCAAUUAAGGAAAGAAGGUUUUUGCUGAUUAAUUAAAAUUAACAAAUUAUUCAAAUACUGUGUGGAUGAAUUUUAUAAACACCCCUACCCACCCACCUCCACAAGUACCUGAAGUUACGCAACACUAUCUGAUUGGUGAUUUGAAGAGAUAUUUAUAGCAGACCAUUCAUUUAUUUUACCAUUUUAACAUACUAAAUGCCAACAAAGAAGAUUGCAAAAACAAUCUGUCUGAAGUAUCUGCCUGUUUAUGCCCAAGCAAUUACUAUAAACCAAAUUUUGAAAGUAAUUUUACCAACGUAGAGUAUAUAUUCAGAGAAUCAUGUAAUACUAUUUUUUAUUUGUU